GACGAACGCUGGCGGCGUGCUUAACACAUGCAAGUCGAACGGAAAGGCCCUGCUUUUGUGGGGUGCUCGAGUGGCGAACGGGUGAGUAACACGUGAGUAACCUGCCCUUGACUUUGGGAUAACUUUAGGAAACUGGGGCUAAUACCGGAUAGGAGCUCCUGCUGCAUGGUGGGGGUUGGAAAGUUUCGGCGGUUGGGGAUGGACUCGCGGCUUAUCAGCUUGUUGGUGGGGUAGUGGCUUACCAAGGCUUUGACGGGUAGCCGACCUGAGAGGGUGACCGGGCACAUUGGGACUGGGAUACGACCCAGACUCCAACGGGAGGCAGCGGUGGGGAAUAUUGCACAGUGGGCGGAAGCCAGAUGCGACGACGCCGGGUGCGGGAUAACGGCCUUCGGGUUGUGAACCGCUUUCGCCUGUGACGAAGCGUGAGUGACGGUAAUGGGUAAAGAAGCACCGGCUAACUACGUG
rnacentral:rRNA from 1 species